GACGAACGCUGGCGGCGUGCUUAACACAUGCAAGUCGAACGGUAAGGCCCUUCGGGGUACACGAGUGGCGAACGGGUGAGUAACACGUGGGUGAUCUGCCCUGCACUUCGGGAUAAGCCUGGGAAACUGGGUCUAAUACCGGAUAGGACCCUGGGAUGCAUGUCCUGGGGUGGAAAGCUUUUGCGGUGUGGGAUGGGCCCGCGGCCUAUCAGCUUGUUGGUGGGGUGAUGGCCUACCAAGGCGACGACGGGGAGCCGGCCUGAGAGGGUGACCGGCCACACUGGGACGGAGAUACCGCCCAGACUCCUACGGGAGGCAGCAGUGGGGAAUAUUGCACAAUGGGCGCAAGCCUGAUGCAGCGACGCCGCGUGAGGGAUGACGGCCUUCGGGUUGUAAACCUCUUUCAGCACCGACGAAGCGCAAGUGACGGUAGGUGCAGAAGAAGGACCGGCCAACUACGUGCCAGCCGCCGCGGUAA
rnacentral:rRNA from 1 species